AGGACGAACGCUGGCGGCGUGCCUAAUACAUGCAAGUCGAACGGUCUUUCUAUGGAAGCUUGCUUCCACUGAGAAGAUAGUGGCGAACGGGUGAGUAACACGUGGGUAACCUGCCCAUAAGAGGGGGGAUAACAUCCGGAAACGGGUGCUAAUACCGCAUAGUUUCUUGAUCGCAUGAUCGGGAAAGGGAAGACGGCCUUUGUGCUGUCGCUUAUGGAUGGACCCGCGGCGUAUUAGUUAGUUGGUGAGGUAACGGCUCACCAAGACGAUGAUACGUAGCCGACCUGAGAGGGUGAUCGGCCACAUUGGGACUGAGACACGGCCCAAACUCCUACGGGAGGCAGCAGUAGGGAAUCUUCCGCAAUGGACGAAAGUCUGACGGAGCAACGCCGCGUGAGUGAAGAAAGGUUUUCGGAUCGUAAAACUCUGUUGUCAGAGAAGAACAAGUUGGAGAGUAACUGCUCCAGCCUUGACGGUAUCUGACCAGAAAGCCACGGCUAACUACGUGCCAGCCGCAGC
rnacentral:rRNA from 1 species